rnacentral:rRNA from 1 species
AGGGAAAGCUGGCGGCAGGCCUAACACAUGCAAGUCGAGCGGAUGAAGGGAGCUUGCUCCUGGAUUCAGCGGCGGACGGGUGAGUAAUGCCUAGGAAUCUGCCUGGUAGUGGGGGAUAACGUCCGGAAACGGGCGCUAAUACCGCAUACGUCCUGAGGGAGAAAGUGGGGGAUCUUCGGACCUCACGCUAUCAGAUGAGCCUAGGUCGGAUUAGCUAGUUGGUGGGGUAAAGGCCUACCAAGGCGACGAUCCGUAACUGGUCUGAGAGGAUGAUCAGUCACACUGGAACUGAGACACGGUCCAGACUCCUACGGGAGGCAGCAGUGGGGAAUAUUGGACAAUGGGCGAAAGCCUGAUCCAGCCAUGCCGCGUGUGUGAAGAAGGUCUUCGGAUUGUAAAGCACUUUAAGUUGGGAGGAAGGGCAGUAAGUUAAUACCCUGCUGUUUUGACGUUACCAACAGAAUAAGCACCGGCUAACUUCGUG